UCUCCUGACCUCAUGAUCCGCGUGCCUCAGCCUCCCAAAGUGUUGGGAUUACAGACGUGAGCCACUGUGUCUGGCCAUCUCUGAGGGAUUUUAACGAGUUGUCCACUUUUGAGUUUGUUCAGCUGUUUACUUACUGUUAGAACCGAGUGACAAAUUUCAAGCUUCUUAUAUGCCUGACAGGAAACCAGAAGUCUCUAGAAAGUGACUGGAGGAUGCGAGUUCCAUAGUAGGCUGAGGAUGGAGUCACGAGUGAAACGGGUGAAAUCAGCCCGUGGGCUUUGGAGACUACAAGCCUGUCCAGCCUCUGACACCCUGGAGGCCAGAAGAACAUGUCUGGGAAUUAUAAGAAUGGAUGGAGGAGCUGCCUAUCCCUGUCCCACGGUCUUGUGCACAGAUCAGCCUCACAACAGGAAACAGCCCUGGAUGGGGAUACAGUGGAAGCUCAUUCUCUUAGUGACUUGUGGACAUUGGUUCGAGAUGAAGCCUGGCAGGAGUGGAAACUCCAGGUCAUUUCUAUACCUUUCCUAUUACCUGGGAGGUGGACCAUUCCACAGUGUUAGCAGGAAGGGAAUACAAGUCAGCCUAGUUAGAGGGAUUGUCUGGGGAAGGGCUAGGGGUGGAGGAAGAAGCUGUGCAGGGCAGGGCUUGCCAGUUAGAAUGAAGUGGGAGGAAGAUGAGGGACACAGAGAAGCAGAGAGAGGCAGAGACAGCAUGGCAGUGAACAGUGGGGGCUACAGUGACUUCAGAGACCCCAGGGAAUAGGUGUCACCAUUUCCACAGUCCAGAACCAGGGAGCCCUGAAACCCUCCAGUGGCCAAAGGAUUUCGACUUACAUGAGGUGGGGUGUCUUUAGGGGCAAGAGGUAGUGGGGGAUGAAAGAUGGGUGUCAGCCUUUGAAGGACAAGGGAAAGGUGUGGCCUAGACCUCCUAGGAUUCUGCAUCUGAGAUCCAGUGUCUAAAGAGGUUAUGGAUCAUUCAUUUCUUCAUUCAAUUCCUUCAUUUGUUAUGUGAGAGCACCUGAGUGUGUGUCUCUCACUGGGCCUGUGAUGGUGCAGGGUGUGAGUGGGGAAAGAAAACAAGGUCCUGUCCUUUAUCCUGUUAUGCCAGUGACAUGGACACUUUGGUAAACAGAGGAUUUCAGUUUCAGUGAUAGGGGUUAAGAUCUGAGGGGGAGGCCUGAACAUUUUUUGCACUGACUCUGACAGUUGAGGCAGGUGAUUUAGUUCCGGAGUACAGACUAAUCAGCUGAACAUUUGCUUUUACUCCUCUGAGGUUUGGAUGCCGAAGAUGAGAGGAUUUGAGCCGAUAAAUGACUAUGGGACUCUUGGAUCCCAGUAAUUCCUCACUUCUGGUGGAGGAGAGGAUGGGCCUGUGGCUGCAGACAGACCUCAUGUGACCCUGAUCUGCCUUUUGUGUUUGUGUGACUCUGGUUCAGUGACUGUGCCUUCCUGUGCCUCAGUUUUCUCUCAGUCAAAUAAGCUAAAUGGCGAAUGGACUAUGGCUUUUCAUGCUAUCUGUGAAUAAAUUGUAAAUUCUUCACAGUCAUCUGA